AUUUGAUUUUUAAAGUACACAUUUUUUUUUUUUUAGUUGAUUCCAAAUAAUUGAGUUUAUUUCUUGUGUUUGUAUUAAACUUUUGAAAUCUACACUCUUUUGGUAUAUUUUGUAAUUUUAAAUUAAGACACAAAAUACUAAAAACUGAAAAUAAUGUAGCCAGUCCUAAGCCUGGUAAAAGCAUGAAGGAAUUUUUUUUUUGAUAUUUUUAUUUUCAUGUUCUUUUUAUUACUUUAUGAUCAUAUUAUAAAUUGAUAUCAGAAAACCAACCGUAUAACGUUGACUUAAAUCUAUAUCUACUACGAUAUUAUAUCAGCGUAUCGUUUCAAAUCUCAAAUAUCAUGAAUCGAGAAAAUCUACUAGCAUCCAUCAAUAUAUAGAUUCAGAAAAUAUAUAGAUUCAAUAUCCGAUAUUGAUUCUCGAUAUAUAGAUACGAUUCGAUACGUGGCAAAACCGAUAUUACCCACUCCUAGUUUUUAUUGAUGCAGAGGUGACUGUAUUUAUGGUAAAGGGUGUGCAUAUUGGUACAGGGGUGGCAGGCAGUUCCAGAGUAUUGACUAAACUGACAUUAUGUAGGCUAAAGGCUGCAUACUCCGUUUAAAAUAAAUGAACAAAAUUUAGGCAUAACCUAUUUUAUUAUAUUUAAGGAACUACAACAGAUUGAAAAUACUAAUCCACAUCAUCAGAAUAUUGUAAGGAGAAUUUAUUGCCAACUCGGAAAAUGUAUCAGUAUUGGAACAAUCCCAAACAUCCUACAGCAUUGCAUCAAGAAUCACCUAUUUUGCAGUCAUCCUCCCCUAACUAAAUGCAAGUGACUUCUACUUAUUGUGAUGCUACUACUAGUAGCUCCAGCCACAGUAGGUCUCAUGUUUGUCAAGAGAUUGGGUUGUUAGCACCUCAACACCUGACCUGCUAUUUCACCACUUUUCAAUGAAAAGCAGAGUGUACUCAAAUUACAACAAAUUACACAGUACCAGGAUAUAUAACUUAAACAACCAUGGGGGAAUAAAUAGUCGACAUUCUGCAAGAAGGAUGAACUGUUGGUGGAAUUAGCAUAUGCAGCUAGGAAUUUUAAACCCGUAUUUCCACAUAUUACUGAUGCAAAUUUCAAAAUUAUUGUAUAUAACUAUUGAAUAAAACUAUAAUAAAACUAUUUUUAUAAA